rfam:Nomascus leucogenys chromosome 13, whole genome shotgun sequence.
AAGAGAGAGAGAGAAUUUGUCUAGCAGGUUUUCUGGUUUCCACUGGAAAACCCCA